GGCGGCGGUCCGGUAUCGCUUCUCGGCCUUUUGGCUAAGAUCAAGUGUAGUAUCUGUUCUUAUCAGUUUAAUAUCUGAUACGUCCUCUAUCUGAGGACAAUAUAUUAAAUGGAUUUUUGAAACUAGGAGUUGGAAGAGGAGCUUGCUCCGUCCACUCCACGCAUCGACCUGGUAUUGCAGUACUUCCAGGAACGGUGCAUCCCCUCGGGGAUCAUUACUUGAGGUUUCAAAGAAAGUAAAUUGAUUAUACUUUUGUGUUGUCUUUGCGUCUUUGUUCUUUCUCGCGUUGUGUAGCUGUUGGUGUGGAUGUAGUUGUGCACGGAACAUAUGCGUUUAAGCCUCACUUGUAUGGUGUCUCAUUGGUGUAAUGUUAUGUAAAGGCAAGGCGUGGUAAAUUAGCGGUGGUGUUAGCGCUGCAUUUAAGAGCCUGUUUACUAUGUCUGUCCUUAAUUUUUUUUUUUCCUAUUCUUGUAUUAUCCUUGUCUCUACUGUAAUUCGGGAUUGUCUUUGCCUUUUCAGACAUAUUUUUUAUGAGACUAAAGUAAUAGGAUUAAAUAUGUUUAGUUAUUUCAGUUCUUUUUGGCUGGCAGGUUUCUCUGUGCGACAGUCCUGGCUGUCCUGAAACUACUUGGUACACCAGAGUUGCACACUUUUUGCCUCCUGAAUGCUGGGACUAAUAAAGUUGUAAAACACUACUGCCUGGCUUAAAUUAUUUCAAAUGUUUGGUUUUGCGCUGGUGGUGGUGAUUUACACCUUUAAUCCCACCAUUUGGGAGGCACAGGCGGUUUGACGUCUGAGUUACAGGUCAGUCAGGGCUACCAGGGGUAAAACAGGUUCAGCGGUUAUAAUAAGCUCUCUGCUCUUUGAGACGACCUGGGUUCAAUUCCCAGCAACCACAGUUAGUGGUUUACGGUUGUCUGACACCCUCAUACAAACAUACAUGCAGGGAAAACACCAAUGCAUGUGAGAUUAAAGAAAAAAGAAAAGUUAUUUUAAAAUUUUUUAGUUUUUUUUUUUUUUUCUUUCUCUGUGCUGAAGAUCUCUUAGGUUUUCAAGCAGGCUAGACACAGCUAUCAUCACUCAAUUAAACCCUAACCCCGAGACAUGUACUUCUUCCUUUAUUUUUUUUCCCCCUGUUGGUUUUUCAAGACAGAGUUUCUCUGUUCUGAAGGAAGGGAGAGAGAGAGAGAGAGAGAGAGAGAGAGAGAGAGAGAGAGAGAGAGAGAGAGAGAGAGAGAGAGAGAGAGAGAGAGAGAGAGAGAGAGAGAGAGAGAGAGAGAAAGCAAGAAAGAGGAAAGUAAAACCAAGAGAGUCAUCCAGGAGACACCCAGAUCUCUGUGAGUUUGAAGUCAACAUGGUUCACAUAGUAAAUUCCAAGUCUGCCAGCCAGGGCUAUAUAGACAUAGACAUAGAUAUAUUGAUAGACAUAGACAUAGAUAUAUUGAUAGACAUAGACAUAGAUAUAUUGAUGGAGAGCACAGGUGGGGGGAGGGGGAGGGAGAGGGAGGGAAGGAGAGGCCACGCCCACCAAGAGUGCUCUCCAAGGGAGAGGUGGGGGGUCCACGCGCCUAGUCCUUGGUGGGUGCUAACCUGCUAACCGCCACCAGUCACCAACCG
ensembl:lncRNA